ensembl:snRNA U6 U6 spliceosomal RNA
GUGCUCACUUUGGUAGUAUGUACAAUGAAAUUGGAAUGAUACAGAGAUUACCAUGGCCCCUAUGCAAGGGGGUGACAUGCAGAUUUGUGAAACAUUCAAAAAAAAG